UGAAGCCGGAAUUGCUAGUAAUGGCAGGUCAGCAUACUGCCGUGAAUACGUUCCCGGGCCUUGUACACACCGCCCGUCACACCAUGAGAGUUGGGAAUACCCGAAGCCUGUGAGCUAACAUUUAUGAGGCAGCAGUCGAAGGUAGAAUCAAUGAUUGGGGUGAAGUCGUAACAAGGUAGC
rnacentral:rRNA from 1 species